AAGUCGUAACAAGGUAACCGUAGGUGAACCUGCGGUUGGAUCAUUAAUAAAUUUAUAAAGGUUAAAGGUCUUUACAGAUCUUUAACUCUUUAACAAAUUUGUGAACUUUAUUAAAGUCUUUUGGGAUGGUAGUAAUAUUAUCCCAAAAACCCCUUUAAACAAUUUAUAUUUUUUUAAGUCUUUAACAACCUUUAAAUUUAAUUUAAAAAACAACUUUUGACAACGGAUCUCUUGGCUCUC
rnacentral:misc_RNA from 1 species